rnacentral:lncRNA from 1 species
CGCAAAGUGCCGGGGAAUAUUUCCCCGGUAGUUAGUUAGGAAUCUGUCCAAUUAGCAUCCAGUAAUCAACAAGAGUUCAAUUUCCCGACCGGGAUAAUUAUUUUCCCGCUCUUUUCUUCAAUUUAUGUUGAGAUUUUGUACUUCAGGUUUCAGCACAAAAUUUUCUUGAUUAAAUGUGGAUUUUUUACAGAAAAAUGCCAGAAGAGUACCGGUGUUCUGGUUUAGAAUAUAUAUUUGAAGGUAAGGUUGUGUCUUAUGGACUUUUAUGUUAUAUUUUUGGUAUAUUGCAUUCAAUUUUUUUACAAACAAGCCUGUGGCGGUUUCGCGUUUAAACAGGCUGAACACACGGCGACUGUCCAGGCUGUCAACAUUUAAAAUCCUUCUAGUGCAGAUUGGAAUAGUAUUUCUUUCUUUUAAGACUGAAAUGGACCUUCGGCAACUUUUACAUGAUGUGCCAAGCGAGUUUUUUCCAGAAUGAAGGCAGCCUUUCUUGAGAAAGACGGUUCAAAGACCAAGAGUCCAAGUAUUAUUCAAAAUAGCAGUUUACCCCACUGUCAAAUAAACCAGGACGAAAUCUGCCCUGUUUUUUAUAAAAAUUAGCUUCUGUUUGUGUAUAAAAUUUAUAAAAUGCAAUACAUUUAUAGUCAAAAGAGGACAACCUUUGAUACAUGUUGAAGGUUUUAUAUUUUAGAAUCUGAUACAAGUUUUUUAUAUUAUUCAGUAGAAGAAGAAUUGGUCAUAGCUUUCUUUGCAGCACCAGCGAUGGCUCGAGCUUCAAAUAAUUAAGGUGAAAACUAUUAUUUUUAUUCACUGUAGAGUAUAAAGCUAUGGUAUCUUAUUGGGCCUGGAUAUGUAUUCCCUUGCAGAUUUUUCCUUUUUCCCCCACAAAGAUUUCACCAUGUUUCCUUGUUUUCCCAACUUUAUGGUCCCUUGUUUUUUUAUCAUUUUUUUUCUUUGAAUUCUGAUUGCAAAAUAUGCAUUGUUCUCUGGUUUCCUAAAACCAGCCCUGGGAGACCCUCAGUACAGUCUCACAAUUAUUUGGUGUUAAGAAUUUUAGGACCCAAAGGCAACUGACAAUGGCUUCCUCUAUGAAUUCCAUUUCAGAACCAUGAAAAACUAGUUUGAUAUAAAUAUUAUAAUAUGAAAUAAGUUCCUCUAUGAACAUUGCCAGGUUU